UACGUAGGGGGCUAGCGUUGUCCGGAAUCAUUGGGCGUAAAGAGCGUGUAGGCGGCCAGGUAGGUCUGCUGUGAAAACUCGAGGCUCAACCUCGAGAUGUCGGCGGAAACCAUCUGGCUAGAGUCCGGAAGAGGAGAGUGGAAUUCCCGGUGUAGCGGUGAAAUGCGCAGAUAUCGGGAAGAACACCCGUGGCUAAGGCGGCUCUCUAGUACGGUACUGACGCUGAGACGCGAAAGCGUGGGGAGCGAACAGG
rnacentral:rRNA from 1 species